AUUGAACGCUGGCGGCAGGCCUAACACAUGCAAGUCGAGCGAGCGGCGGACGGGUGAGUAAUGUAUGGGGAUCUGCGUGAUGGCGGGGUAUAACUACUGGAAACGGUAGCUAAUACCGCAUACCAUCAUAUGCCCCCAUAUGGGAUGAGCUUGUAGGUGGGGUAACGGCUCACCUAGGCGACGAUCCCUAGCUGGUCUGAGAGGAUGAUCAGCCACACUGGGACUGAGACACGGCCCAGACUCCUACGUGAGGCAGCAGUGGGGAAUAUUGCACAAUGGGCGCAAGCCUGAUGCAGCCAUGCCGCGUGUAUGAAGAAGGCCUUAGGGUUGUAAAGUACUUUCAGCGGGGAGGCGUUACCCGCAGAAGAAGCACCGGCUAACUCCGUGCCAGCAGCCGCGGUAAUAC
rnacentral:rRNA from 1 species